GAUGAUAAUGUGGUGGUUUACGAGAUACUGACCAGACUCCCAGUCAAGUCACUUGUGCGGUUCAAGUGCGUCUGUAAAGCCUGGAAAUCGAUUAUCGAGCAAGAUUCGCACUUUAUCAAUGUAUACCGCAAAUAUUCACAAGCACGACCUCCGCGUUUGUUGACUAUGGUCCUUAAUCGGAAAAACGGCAUCCUCCCCAAAGGCGGCAGAAUGAGUGGUUGUUUUGAUUUCUUGUUAGCCGAUAUGGACUGUGGCGGAGCCACUAUUCAGAACUCAUGGAGUGUGAAAGUGCCGAGUCCAGAUACUCAAAUUAGGGGACCAGUUAGGGGAUUGCUCUGUUUUGUUGACGACUUUGAUGUAUCGAUUUACAACGUCAGCACCAGACAAUUUGUCACACCAUGGAUCAGAUCGACGGUGGUCUCGAGGACUCGUCGAAUGGACAAACCGGCAUGUCAAUUUGGAUUCGACCCCGAUACCGGAGAAUAUAAAGCUAUUUUUGUUUGGCAAGCUUCAUGUAAAACUCCGGCUUGUUGUGAGGUGUUGACUGUAGGGGUUGACUCUAGUUGGAGAAUAAUUGAUGCUGCAGUACCUCCUGGAUUUGAAUUCAUUAAGAGUGCUUAUGUCAAUGGUUCCAUCUACUGGAUGACCCACUACUGGGGCGGACGACGAAGUAUUAAUACGUAUUCCGAAUCCUUGGUGGCAUUUGAAAUUGGACCGGAGAAGUUUAGGACGAUGAGGAUUCCCGAAUUCACACUUUCAGGGUGUCAACUGUCCCCCCAUGACAUUAUAAUAGAAUUGGAUGGGUGUCCAACUGUGUUGCGUAGGGCAAGACCGCCAACACUGAAGCUAUGGAAAUUUCGUUAUAGUAAUGAGGAGGAAGGAACACCUACUACUGCUACAACUACAAGUGAAACAGAAGAUUGGAAUGAAGUUUGUAUUGAAAUGCCUAGUGAUGUAUCUCCCUGGAUGUCUGUUUCGGUUCAUCCGAUACCUGGGAAAGACGAGAUGAUCUUUGAAACCCAUGAUCGACGGAAUGUUCACUGCAAGGAAAUUCUACUGAGAAAUGUGAAGCUUGCCAGCUUUUAUUCAUACAAUAGGGUAAACAAGACUUUCAGCAAGUUUAAAAUCCAAGGAAUUCCCUCCAUUCCAGAUCUUCUUAGCACUCGUUGUCAUGUGUUGGUAGAAGAUCUUUUUCCUGCUGCUGCUGGUGAGAAAAAACCAGUGAAGAAGCCCAGUUGAGACUCUUAAGGUAAAGGGCAUUUUGGAAUCUAUCUCCUCCAUGACAUUGUUACUGUAUGAUUGUUUGAGUUUGUUAUUAUGUGAUUCUUAACAUUACAUCAUGAAUCAGAUUUAGUACUGUUCAUGCAAGUAAUUCCAUCUCUGGUCUCUUGGCUGUUGGUGUGUAGUGAAUGGUUUGAUUUAUAUACAUACUGCCUGCAACUUUGGUGGUUUUCACGUUCCCUCAAGUCUGGAAUAUACAACAGCAAGCAAAUAUUCUCUAUGCUCUGCACAUAAAUGAUUGUUUCCAUAAAGAAAACACUAACUUAUCAUAGGUUUUGUUUGUGUGAUUUUUGCAGAGUUGCAAUUGCAAGGAGGAUUUUGCAGAAUAAGUUGGGGUGUCCAAGUCUAGAGUUAUAGUAAUGCUGCUGCUGCUGCAAUUGCAAGGAGUAUAGUUGUUUGUCUGUUGUUUUUGACUGACCGGGGCCGAAAAAAAAGAUAUCAGCGAUCGGCUUUUCUUUUCUUUUACUUUUGAAGGCGUCCAAUUGUUUAACUUGUGCCGUUUAUACUAUUCAGGUGGGUAAAAACGGUUUAGAAGUGUGAUUAUAUGUUACGUGCCCAAUUGAGUACAAAAAAUAUUUUAUAUAAUAUGUGCCAAUUUUUGCAAAAGGCCGAUAAAUUAGACUUUUUGAGUCCAUUUUUUCCCUUUAAUAAAAUAAUUCACAAUAUCAACUAAAAUCCUAAACAACUAUUUAAUCUUAACUAAAACUCUAAGAAAUACUAAUGGAAGAAAACUAAUAUUUAUCUAAUAAUAAUUCUCAAUGACAUGCACUUAACAUAUCAUCCUCCUCCGAAAGAACCUUAUCCUCAAGGUUCUCAAGGUUCUCAACCUAAAAUCAAUACUUACUAAAAACUAAGGAGGCUUGGGGCAAGGACGUAUCAACCUUUUCUCAUAUCGAACAUGCUCUAACAAAUCAAUCUUCAUCAAUUUUUUGUUUAAAUCUAAUUCUAUACUUAGCAAUGUGGUAUUCAAUUGGGUACGUAAUAAAGACAAUCAAACAUUGAACAAAAACGACCACAUGAGGUUUGUAUAUUGUCCUGUCAGUGUAUGAUCCAUGAGACCAUCACAAUAUAGAACAUGAAGGUCACCAAAUCCUGAUAAAACAGUUUUGCCAAGUAUCUGCCGUUGCAUACCUCGAUACAGUGUCAUUAUCAGUCGGCUGAAACAGAAGUUUACCACAGAGUAUGCUGAUGGCAAUCAGUUGAGAUGUUUUUCAACUCCGAGAGAAAUGGGUCAAACAGUAGGCAAACUGGCUGAGAAGACUCCGUUAAGUUGGGGACACUGUUAGUGGGAUACCUGGUGAAGAAAGGGUGGUUCACAUAUUAGAUCAUGGCACCUCUAGAUUUACACGUGUUCAGUUUAUGUUUCCUUAUCCGCAGGGUCGGUGGAAUGAACUGGAACGGGAAAAUGGAUCUGUUGCUUCAAGUUAUAACUGGAUUGGAGCUUUUGGCUGGAGCCUACUGACAUUGGAAUCUGUUAUAGUUCGACAUAGAAAGCCCGAGAAGGACACUGAGAACAGUGACUAUAAACGUAGCAUAGAUGAAGAUGAUGGCUUACAUGGGAAGGUUGAGUCCAAACUGUUCUUCUCCCAUGGAAAUAACAAAUAAAGUGAAGUUGGAUUUAGAUCAUUGACUUUCUCAAUUGCAUCCUCGACAUUUCCACACUGCACCGCUUUAACAGCCAUGCGAAUCAGUAAUCGUUCCGAGAUAUAUACCUGCUGUGUCUUAGUAAGGAACAUGAGGAAGGUGCUUCCACAAGAUUGGGAUACGUUCAGCUCCAGAUUGGGAUACGUUCAGCUUAUCCAACCCAGAGCAAUCUCUUGGCUAUCUGUGGAUGUUUGGCUAGUUAGCUGCUCAGUCAACCUAUCAAGGUGAUAAUCAAAGUUAUUAUUUAGACAUAUGAGCAAUCAGUAUAUGAUAUGGGCAAGUUCGGAGCCAUAUGUUCAAGCAAACCCUCUUGCAUGCAAGUUUCUGAUCUGACCAUAUCAAAAUAAUGGGAUAAUCAAACACUUACAAACAGAUUAGCUCUGACACAGAAAUCCCCAUUUGUUCCAAAAAUCCAGCAGCAAGCAGUAGUUACUACUACUAGUGUUAUCUAAUCAAUCAAAUUCGAUGAUCAUCCGAUAAGGAGGAAAACAAUUAAACAAAUGGCAGGAAAUCCAGAAACUCUGUCCAGAUAGUGAAAAAACUCAGCAAUUCAAAAACCCUAAAGACGAGAACAAGGAACCCGUGAAUUAACAUAUACCAUCUCUGCAAGAUGACGAAUAACAAUCCAGAACAGUGCCAUCAGUGCUGGAGGAGCACCAUCAAGCCCAUGGGAGGAGAGGCUUAACCAAUCCACUGUGUUAAAAACCAAAACGACAAGGAAAUGUCACAAACGAGAAAACUUCAAUUCAAAACAGAAGAAGAAUCUCCCAUUGAAACAGCUCACCAUUCAAUUGUACAAAAGAGCAUCCCACAAAAAAAAAGCGAGAACAAUGCUCUAGGAUCUAGGUUAUCAGUUCGAGAGCUUGUUUCGAGGGCCGCUGUGAGAUGUCGAGAAGUUCACCGACAGGGCACUUUGACACGUCAUCGAAACCAGCCAGUAGUGAAACUGUUCUCUCCAGCUCUUCCAAAAAGCUUUGCUGUAAGAGGAAAAUGUCAAGUCUAGUUUCUGAGCACUAAGUUAGAGUAAUGGUAUAGAUUUUGGAAAUCAACAUAAUACAGGAACUAUAAAAAAAUUGUAAUGUUAAAAAAUGUCUUAAAUUUUAUUAUCAAACGACCAAGAUUUUACUUUUAUUAAAUUCACAAACGUCAAAUUACGCGAAUACCCUUCGAACUUCCUCUUUAAAUACACAAGUUGGGGUCGAAUAAAACACACUUCCUAUUUUUCGUUAACUUUCACAGAUGAAAAACUCUAUCAAAUCAGUCUUCGAAACCGACCACCCACCGACGCCUGACCUGCCGCCAUCCGCUGUCCGCCGUCUACACCCCGCCGCCGCCCAAAGGUAAGAAAAAAAAAAAAAAAACGACGGAAAAAAAGAAAAACAAGACUGCGGGGAAGCAGUGCCGAGGCCGGAGCCCUCGAGACCCCACCCCCUACUUUGACCGCCGACUCCCUCGGCGUUGACCAACAAAAAAGGACAUAUUUGAUCCUUUUUCCCUUCGUAACACCAACAGAUAUAGAAAAUAAUUGUUGGUGGCACAGUUAAUUUUCUUUCAAUUGAAAACAAUACAAGAAUGAAUCUUUUUUAUAUAUAUUUUAAUAAUGUUAGGUUCGAAACAUUGGAUUGGUUAAUUGAUUUUUCGAUAUACAGAUUUUUUAUUCAAAAUCGUCUCAAUGCAUGUUUGAUCAUAGUUUCAUAACUCAACCCCAUUCUAUAUAACUAAUUAACUAAUGAGCCAAAUUUUUAACAAAAAUCACAAUACCGAAUGCUAAAAAUAAAUGGUGUAUCAAAAACAUGUUUUUUCAAAGUGAACAAAAAAUGUAGUAUACAAUACUUUCAUAACAUAAAAACUCGACUUACGUAGUAAUUAAUUAGAACUAGAUCGUGCCCCAUCGGUUGGCCGAAAGUCUAAUGAACUAAAACACAGUUUGUUUGAAAAAUUCGAAAAGAAAGACAUAGUUAGGUCAUAAGCAGUGUACUAUACUAAUUAAUAUGUUUUUAGGUAGAAUCCUAAAAUAUGAGUAGCCCGUGCAUUAUCAUGGCAUCAGGUACGUUAGCUUGUAAAUCCUUCCGGAUCUUAAUAUGAUGAAAGUUUAGACUUAAAAUGAUUUUACAUUUGGCAUAUUCAGCUUAAAAUGGUUUUGCACUAUAUACUUUCUCCCAAUAGAAUACUUUUACCAAUACGUGUUUUUGUACCAUUAGUCAUAGCCUGUUGGCGGAGUCUAGACCCAUGAUUAAAAGUAAAAGUAUAUUAACUAAUAUUGUGUAUUUUUAAUUUUUUUAUACUAAUUCUAUUAUUAUAUAUUAACAUGUACAUAUAUGAUGAUAUAAUUGUGAUAAUUUUGAUUGUUAAAUCAACAUUUUGAAUGAUGAAUAUAUAUAAAAAUAUAGUUACAAAGAGGGUUGCAUAUAUAGAUAUGUCCACCCAAACUCUCACUAAGUCACUCAUAUGUGAUGGAUAUAAAUAUUCAUGUAUAUAUGUUGACCAAAGCCCAUUUGAAAAGAAUAUAUAAAUCAAGAUUAAUCAUUGGCUCAUUGGUCUCAAUUGACCCAUUAAAAGAAUUUUGAAUCUGAAUCCCUAAACGACGCCCUAGUUUUCGAAUUAAACGACGCCCUAAAACAGUAAAUUACUAAAUUAUCCUAUAAUAAAUUUCGAAAACUUAUACGAAUUUCAAUCUUCGACGAACUCAAUCAUUCUCAUAUUCAUGGCGAUAACUCGUGCAUCCAAUCGAUACUUCAAGUAUUGUGAAAUAGAAGGCGGCGGCGAUUUGUGAGAGAGACAGGGGAGGAAGAACCGAGCCACCAAUAGGAGCUGGUGGUCGGAAGAUCAAAGCUUUUGGCGGAGGGCUGGGGAAAUUUCCGGCGGGGUCACUCAGGUAGGUUCAGGUACGACAAAUAGUACUUCAGCUGUUUAUUUAUAUAAAUCGCACUGUUUCUUGUGGGUGGGAGUAAAUCGGAGUAAUUCAAUAACAGAAAGCUAAUCUCACUCUUUCCUCCGCCGCAGGUUCCUUGGUCCUUGUAAAUUAAAAUAAAGGUGACAUCUUUGUAGCUCAAUAAUGGUGGAUGGAACCAGAAAAGGAAGCAGAAGAAUGGAUUUUAGUCUGGUAUGCAUCUUAUCCUGAUUCAUGAUCGAUUCAAGGUAUUUUUAAUUAACGCGCGAUUCAUGAUUUCUUUUUUUUUUCGUGCAGAAACCUCAUGUUUGGACAACAAAUAAGAACGAUGAUUAUGUGGUGGUUUACGAGAUACUGACCAGACUCCCAGUCAAGUCACUUGUGCGGUUCAAGUGCGUCUGUAAAGCCUGGAAAUCGAUUAUCGAGCAAGAUUCGCACUUUAUCAAUGUAUACCGCAAAUAUUCACAAGCACGACCUCCGCGUUUGUUGACUAUGGUCCUUAAUCGGAAAAACGGCAUCCUCCCCAAAGGCGGCAGAAUGAGUGGUUGUUUUGAUUUCUUGUUAGCCGAUAUGGACUGUGGCGGAGCCACUAUUCAGAACUCAUGGAGUGUGAAAGUGCCGAGUCCAAAUACUCAAAUUAAGGGACCAGUUAGGGGACUGCUCUGUUUUGUUGACGACUUUGAUGUAUCGAUUUACAACGUCAGCACCAGACAAUUUGUCACACCAUGGAUCAGAUCGACGGUGGUCUCGAGGACUCGUCGAAUGGACAAACCGGCAUGUCAAUUUGGAUUCGACCCCGAUACCGGAGAAUAUAAAGCUAUUUUUGUUUGGCAAGCUUCAUGUAAAACUCCGGCUUGUUGUGAGGUGUUGACUGUAGGGGUUGACUCUAGUUGGAGAAUAAUUGAUGCUGCAGUACCUCCUGGAUUUGAAUUCAUUAAGAGUGCUUAUGUCAAUGGUUCCAUCUACUGGAUGACCCACUACUGGGGCGGACGACGAAGUAUUAAUACGUAUUCCGAAUCCUUGGUGGCAUUUGAAAUUGGACCGGAGAAGUUUAGGACGAUGAGGAUUCCCGAAUUCACACUUUCAGGGUGUCAACUGUCCCCCCAUGACAUUAUAAUAGAAUUGGAUGGGUGUCCAACUGUGUUGCGUAGGGCAAGACCGCCAACACUGAAGCUAUGGAAAUUUCGUUAUAGUAAUGAGGAGGAAGGAACACCUACUACUGCUACAACUACAAGUGAAACAGAAGAUUGGAAUGAAGUUUGUAUUGAAAUGCCUAGUGAUGUAUCUCCCUGGAUGUCUGUUUCGGUUCAUCCGAUACCUGGGAAAGACGAGAUGAUCUUUGAAACCCAUGAUAGACGGAAUGUUCACUGCAAGGAAAUUCUACUGAGAAAUGUGAAGCUUGCCAGCUUUUAUUCAUACAAUAGGGUAAACAAGACUUUCAGCAAGUUUAAAAUCCAAGGAAUUCCCUCCAUUCCAGAUCUUCUUAGCACUCGUUGUCAUGUGUUGGUAGAAGAUCUUUUUCCUGCUGCUGCUGGUGAGAAAAAACCAGUGAAGAAGCCCAGUUGAGACUCUAAGGUAAAGGGCAUUUUGGAAUCUAUCUCCUCCAUGACAUUGUUACUGUAUGAUUGUUUGAGUUUGUUAUUAUGUGAUUCUUAACAUUACAUCAUGAAUCCGAU
rnacentral:lncRNA from 1 species